rnacentral:misc_RNA from 1 species
UCCUCUUUACAGAGGCAGUUCGUUCCGAGUCCCCGGCAUUAUCCGCUGGUAACAGAACAUGAGGGUUGCGCUCGUUGCGGGACUUAACCCAACAUUUCACAACACGAGCUGACGACAGCCAUGCACCACCUGUGCAUCACCCUCGAAGGCGACCACUUUUGGGUAGCUUGCAGAUGCAUGUCAAGCCCUGGUAAGGUUCUUCGCGUUGCAUCGAAUUAAGCCACAUGCUCCACCGCUUGUGCGGGCCCCCGCCAAUUCCUUUGAGUUUCAACCUUGCGGCCGUACUCCCCAGGCGGGGAACUUACUCCGUUAGGUGCGGCACCGGCGGUAACCCGCCGACACUUAGUUCCCAUCGUUUAGGGCGUGGACUAC